UUUGCCUUAAAGGUGAGCAAUGAACCUUAGACUGAGCCAACAAAUGGCUGGCUACAGGACUGUGACCAUGCAGUCUUAAAACAAGAAUGGACGUAAGAUGAACCAGCAGGCGAAGACUACUCCCACUCCACUCCCUCUCCACUCUCAGCCCUUUCUCCAAAGAGGCAGAGUUGUGAGGGUACAUCCAUGCCUCCUGAAUCUGCAGCCUGGAGGGAGAGGAAACAGCCAAAGAAUAAAAAUCCAGGUGACCUAGGGGUAAACUCUUAGGAAGAGAGAUCCCUGUGUUGGCCAAAGGGAAAGAACUGAACAACUGAACGCCUGUAAUCUUGGGUCUUCUCUGGAUGACAUCACCUUUGGUGGCUUUGCCCCUCACACACUUCUGGGAUUCUUCUUGUGUCUGGAAAAAAAAAAGACCCCAUGGAUAAGAACA